rnacentral:snoRNA from 1 species
CCCACAACCAUACCUGUCUUGUACUGAAGUGACUGGUGUACUCCAGUGGUGAGCUGAGAGGGAAUCCCCAGCUUAGGAAGCAGGGCUAUUCUGUUUGUGGAGAGCUCUGUGCCGAAAGGCUGGGAACAUUG